GGAAAUUAUCAACAUAUUUACGAACUCUCCCAUUUCUCCCAGUUCUUCUCCCAUCUGGACUACGGUGGCAGCACAGGAAGAGCACAAUGCUGCCAGAGACUUUGGGACAUUGUGAGAUGACGAGUGACAUCUGGAUAAACAUCUACUCUAUUUAGCGCAAGUGCCCAAAGAGGUCUCUGUUUGUGGUCACUUAGACUCAGGCCCAUCUCAGCAAACGGGUCCAACAGCCGGCUGCCCUCAUCAUCUGCUAGCUACAGCGGAGAUCGGGAGAUUACCGAAGGGGAAAACACAGACAGAAGGGUUGAGAGUACUGACUUUUCAUGUAGAGGAACCAAACACAGCAUCACACACGGAUGCCCACACCCACCUGUGUG